rnacentral:tRNA from 1 species
GCGGGUGGGUGGGAGGCUCAAACUGCCGGACUGUAAAUCCGGAGCCCGAAAGGCGUCGCUGGUUCGUGGGUUCGAUUCCCGUUUCCCGCUCCA